UGUUUCCAAAUUGACAAAUUCUCAAACUGUUAACAGCGUUUUCUGUGCUUGUGAACUUGCGAGUUCAUUCUUCCAAGAACAACCAGCAAGAACGUCCUCCCCAAGAAAACAAGUCCGUUCUUUGCAUUCUUGAGAUUGAGAAACAUCC